rnacentral:rRNA from 1 species
UACGGAGGGUGCGAGCGUUGUCCGGAAUCAUUGGGCGUAAAGGGCGCGUAGGUGGCCCGGUCAGUUCGUGGUGAAAGCGCGGGGCUCAACCCUGCGUCGGCCAUGAAUACUGCCGCGGCUGGAGCACUGUAGAGGCAGGCGGAAUUCCGGGGUGUAGCGGUGGAAUGCGUAGAGAUCCGGAAGAACACCGGUGGCGAAGGCGGUCUGCUGGGGCAGUUGCUGACACUGAGGCGCGACA